rnacentral:rRNA from 1 species
GAUGAACGCUGGCGGCGUGCCUAAUACAUGCAAGUCGAGCGAAGCGGGGACGGGUGAGUAACACGUGGCUAACCUCCUAUAAGACUGGGAUAACUUCGGGAAACCGGAGCUAAACCGGAUCCUUAUUGAUGGAUCCGCGGCGCAUUAGCUAGUUGGUAAGGUAACGGCUUACCAAGGCAACGAUGCGUAGCCGACCUGAGAGGGUGAUCGGCCACACUGGAACUGAGACACGGUCCAGGCUCCUACGGGAGGCAGCAGUAGGGAAUCUUCCGAAAUGGGCGAAAGCCUGACGGAGCAACGCCGCGUGAGUGAUGAAGGUCUUCGGAUCGUAAGACUCUGUUAUUAGGGAAGCGGUACCUAAUCAGAAAGCCACGGCUAACUACGUGCCAGCAGCCGCGGUAAUUC